rnacentral:rRNA from 1 species
GACGUAGGAUGCAAGCGUUGUCCGGAAUUAUUGGGCGUAAAGAGCUCGUAGGCGGUUUGUCGCGUCUGCUGUGAAAACUCGGGGCUUAACUCCGGGCCUGCAGUGGGUACGGGCAGACUAGAGUGCGGUAGGGGAGACUGGAAUUCCUGGUGUAGCGGUGAAAUGCGCAGAUAUCAGGAGGAACACCGGUGGCGAAGGCGGGUCUCUGGGCCGUAACUGACGCUGAGGAGCGAAAGCGUGGGGAGCAAACAGG